GGGGGUGAUCGGUUUCGACUUCGGUAGGCGUUUCAGGGGAAGCGGGUCGAGGGUUGUGUUCGUGACCUCGUUAAUCCUGCGUUCACGCUAAACACAAGUGCCAAUUCCAAGCGCACUGAGUUCGCUCUCGCUGCCUAAGCGAUAGCGACUCUGUCGGUCCGGGCUCGUCAUCGGCCCGGGUACCGGCAUCAGCCAGAUGACUCACCGCACGGAUCAGGCCACGGGGCCCGAGCGGGACAUUUUCGUGGCUGGGCCUGUCAGCGAUGUGUCUGUACAAGCGCUGGGGCCGAGUAGAGCGACACUACAGACUGCACCCGGAGAAGCUCUGGCUCGUCAUCGAAGGACGCGGGUUCGAUUCCCGCCACCUCCACUC
rfam:Nocardiopsis flavescens strain CGMCC 4.5723 genome assembly, contig: Ga0104439_138